UAAUGCCAUUUGGUAUCUGACACAUGGUCUGCUCUUGUGACUAUUAGUCUCGAAAUAUGGCAUAAAACCAAGGGGGAACGGAUCUUGCGACAUUGGUGGUUCCUCUAUGAUCCUCCAAUUACUAUAUAGCCGUUUACCAUU
rnacentral:snoRNA from 1 species